GUAUGAGAACGCUUCAGUUUGUUGAAGUAAGUAAAGUGGCGCACGGGUGAGUAACGCGUGGGUAAUCUACCCUCAAAUUGGGGAUAACCCGCCGAAAGGCGGGUUAAUACCGAAUGAUAUCUUGAAGACUUAUGUUUUCAGGAUUAAAGGUGGCCUCUAUAUGUAAGUUAUUGUUUGGGGAUGAGCCCGCGUACCAUUAGCUUGUUGGUAGGGUAAUGGUCUACCAAGGCUAUGAUGGUUAGCUGGUCUGAGAGGAUGAUCAGCCACACUGGAAUUGAUAUAUGGUUUAGAUUUCCUACGGGAGGUAGUAGUGAGGAAUUUUGCGCAAUGGGGGAAACCCUGACGCAGCAACGCCGCGUGAGUGAUGAAGGCUUUCGGGUCGUAAAGCUCUGUCAAGUGGGAAGAACUCAUAUGGUGUUAAUAUUUCCAUAUGUUGAUGGUACCACUGAAGGAAGCACCGGCUAACUCCGUGCCAGUAGUGGUAAUACGGGGGGUGCGAGCGUUAUUCGGAAUUACUGGGCGUAAAGAGCGCGUAGGCGGUCUUUUAAGUCAGGUGUGAAAGCCCGGGGUUUAACCCCGGAAGUGCACUUGAAACUAAGAGACUUGAGUAUGGGAGAGGGAAGUGGAAUUCCUGGUGUAGCGGUGAAAUGUGUAGAUAUCAGGAGGAAUAUUAGUGGUGAAGGUGACUUCCUGGACCAAUACUGACGCUGAGGCGCGAAGGCGUGGGGAGCAAACAGGAUUAGAUAUUCUGGUAGUCCACGCAGUAAACGGUGAACACUAGGUGUAGCGGGUAUUGAUUCCUGCUGUGCCGCAGCAAAUGCAUUAAGUGUUCCGCCUGGGGAGUACGGCCGCAAGGUUAAAACUCAAAGGAAUUGACGGGGGCCCGCACAAGCGGUGGAGCAUGUGGUUUAAUUUGACGCAACGCGAAGAACCUUACCUAGGUUUGACAUCCCGGGAAUCCUGUGGAAACACGGGAGUGCCCUUCGGGGAACUCGGUGACAGGUGCUGCAUGGCUGUCGUCAGCUCGUGUUGUGAGAUGUUGGGUUAAGUCCCGCAACGAGCGUAACCCCUUUCUUUAGUUACCAUUAUUUAGUUGGGGACUUUAAAGACACUGCCCCGGUUAACGGGGAGGAAGGUGGGGAUGACGUCAAGUCCUCAUGGCCUUUAUGCCUAGGGCUACACACGUGCUACAAUGGACUGUACAAAGGGUUGUUAGUUUGUGAAGGUGAGCCAAUCCUAUAAAGCAGUUCGUAGUUCGGAUUGGAGUCUGCAAUUUGACUCCAUGAAGCUGGAAUCGCUAGUGAUCGUGGAUCAGCACGCCACGGUGAAUACGUUCCCGGGCCUUGUACACACCGCCCGUCACACCAUGAGAGUUGGUUGUACCAGAAGUCGUUGGGCAAAUCUUUAUAGGAUGCAGGCGCCUAAGGUAUGGCUGAUGAUUGGGGUGAAGUCAACAAGGUA
rnacentral:rRNA from 1 species